CAGACGCGGCAGGAGUAUUCCAAAUCCGUUUAAAGCCGGCGUGGACGAUGGCUGCGGAUGACCAAUACUCAAUCGUACCGGUGCGGCAUAUUCCCCCAAGUGUCGCAGCGGCCGAAGUGCCGAGGACCGCGCACUUCGUUUGACUCCUAAUGGUCUUGACCCGGAUUCCGUCCCGAAGCCGG
rfam:Pseudomonas fulva 12-X, complete genome.